rnacentral:tRNA from 1 species
AGGGAUAUAACUCAGUUGGUAGAGUGCUUGCCUUGCAUGCACAAGGCUCUGGGUUCAAUCCCCAGCAACACAA